UACGUAGGGUGCAAGCGUUGUCCGGAAUUAUUGGGCGUAAAGAGCUCGUAGGCGGUUCGUCGCGUCGGCUGUGAAAACCCGGAGCUCAACUCCGGGCCUGCAGUCGAUACGGGCGGACUUGAGUGUUGCAGGGGAGACUGGAAUUCCUGGUGUAGCGGUGAAAUGCGCAGAUAUCAGGAGGAACACCGAUGGCGAAGGCAGCUCGCUGGGACGGUACUGACGCUGAGGCGCGAAAGCGUGGGGAGCAAACAGG
rnacentral:rRNA from 1 species